GAGUUUGAUCCUGGCUCAGGACGAACGCUGGCGGCGUGCCUAAUACAUGCAAGUCGAACGAACUCUGGUAUUGAUUGGUGCUUGCAUCAUGAUUUACAUUUGAGUGAGUGGCGAACUGGUGAGUAACACGUGGGAAACCUGCCCAGAAGCGGGGGAUAACACCUGGAAACAGAUGCUAAUACCGCAUAACAACUUGGACCGCAUGGUCCGAGUUUGAAAGAUGGCUUCGGCUAUCACUUUUGGAUGGUCCCGCGGCGUAUUAGCUAGAUGGUGGGGUAACGGCUCACCAUGGCAAUGAUACGUAGCCGACCUGAGAGGGUAAUC
rnacentral:rRNA from 2 species